UCUGAAGCUCGCUGUGGAAAGUUUAGUGAACCUUAUCACUUAGAGGAAGGAGAAGUCGUAACAAGGUUUCCGUAGGUGAACCUGCGGAAGGAUCAUUC
rnacentral:rRNA from 1 species